UCUAAGAAAGCGGCACUCAGAAGCUUCCUACCAGUCUAUAGACUGAGAAGGCUCUGGACAAACCAACUUCAGAAAAAAUUCCAAACCUGUUUCUGCAGUGUCGGCUGUGCUGUUUCCAGGGUCACGUGUUAAGGUGGGAUCUGCACCUAUUGGAAAGUCAUCUGAGAUCCUAUCCUCUGUAUCCUCAGUGACACCUCUCUGCUGUCAGUGCUAAGUGUUGCUUCUACUGACCUUUCUGCUGGGAUGGGAGGGUGUCCUCAGUCUCAGGAGUCCAGGAACCACACAGCUCUGAGGAGAGAAGGUGCCACAGUGGAUAGGUAUCCAGAGACAUGCGAGCCCAGGAAUCACACAGCUCUGAGGUGGGACAGUGUCCUAAUGGAAGGGCAGUGUCCUGAGACUUGGGAUCUUAGGAACCACACAGCUCCCAAAUGAAGCCUCCUCAGCAGAGGCAUUGCAGCUUCCAGGGGAAGGCAUCCGCCACUGAGCUGAAGAGCUCAGGUGAAAUGGAAACUUAAUGGUUCUUUGGAAAAUCAGUUAUGUUGGAUGGUGUUUUGCUGGGGCGAACACGUGAACAGUGUCCUGAAGUGGACUCGGGUGAAAGACUAAGGCAUAUUCAUAAAGCAACAUUUCACUAAAGCUAUAGCAAACACAUGAAUGGUCACAUGACAAAAGAUUCCUUACGACCAACACACACGUCUGCCUUCCAUU